GCCUUUACACAGCACUUGUUCGCUAGGGUUUCGGUGCAGAUUUUUGAUUUUCGCUUCAUCUGAAUCGUUUUCUGCAAACUUGCGAAGCUAUGUACGGAUCAAGGGGGGCAAUGUUGGGGAGCGGGGGGGUUUCGGACGGGUACGAGAAUGGCUCAAAGAGACCAAGAAUGAUGGAAUCAAAUCCCUGCUUCGCAGUGAGCAGCGGUUCAAGCGGUUAUCACCAGCCUUAUGGCUAUGGCAGCGGCAGAUUUCAGCCCUCUGGAUUUCCUGUUGUUCGUUUGAGGGGUCUUCCGUUCAACUGCACUGAAAUUGACAUUCACAAGUUCUUUGCUGGCCUGGAUAUUGUGGAUGUUUUCCUGGUCAACAAGGAUGGACGGUUCGUUGGGGAGGCUUUUGUUGUCUUUGCUGGUCAUAUGCAAGUUGAUUAUGCUCUUCAAAGGGACAGACAGAACAUGGGGAGGAGAUAU
rnacentral:misc_RNA from 1 species